rnacentral:rRNA from 1 species
AAGUCGAACGGUAACAGGAAGCAGCUUGCUGCUUUGCUGACGAGUGGCGGACGGGUGAGUAAUGUCUGGGAAACUGCCUGAUGGAGGGGGAUAACUACUGGAAACGGUGGCUAAUACCGCAUAACGUCGCAAGACCAAAGAGGGGGACCUUCGGGCCUCUUGCCAUCAGAUGUGCCCAGAUGGGAUUAGCUUGUUGGUGAGGUAACGGCUCACCAAGGCGACGAUCCCUAGCUGGUCUGAGAGGAUGACCAGCCACACUGGAACUGAGACACGGUCCAGACUCCUACGGGAGGCAGCAGUGGGGAAUAUUGCACAAUGGGCGCAAGCCUGAUGCAGCCAUGCCGCGUGUAUGAAGAAGGCCUUCGGGUUGUAAAGUACUU